rnacentral:rRNA from 1 species
UACGAGGGGGCUAGCGUUGCUCGGAAUUACUGGGCGUAAAGCGCACGUAGGCGGUUUCUCCAGUCAGUGGUGAAAGCCCGGAGCUCAACUCCGGAAUUGCCCUUGAGACUGUAUCGCUUGAACACGGGAGAGGUGAGUGGAAUUCCGAGUGUAGAGGUGAAAUUCGUAGAUAUUCGGAAGAACACCAGUGGCGAAGGCGGCUCACUGGACCGUUGUUGACGCUGAGGUGCGAAAGCGUGGGGAGCAAACAGG